GUGAGGAGACCAUCGCCAUGGACGGAAACGACCGCUUCGGUCGAUUCAACCCUGGGGCGACCCUACGGCCUUGGCAUGUGGACCCUGGGGCUUCGCUUGAUCCCCGCGGUUGUAAGCGUGGCCGGGCCGCCUGGAAUUCGUCCCCGGCGCCGCUCUAAUUUCUCGUCGGUGGCAAGCUCCUUUCCCCUUGCCGCCGUGCCGCGUGGGCUGAGUUCAACACUGCUCGAUCACUCGUAAGUCUACCACCAUCAGAUUCUCCUUACCUCGCUCUCUGUUUUCCACGAUAUCAUGCGCUGUUGGGGCUCUGGUAGCUUACCAAUCGCUCGGCGGAAGUAGAAUUUGUUCCCCUCAACCCUCCUCGCCGUGGCUGGGGCGUGUCCCUGCACGGGGGCCCAUGUGGGUACCCUUAUCAUGCUCGACGGGGGCUCCGCAUCGUUUGGGAAAUAGGGCUUUGAGAUUGGUGUCGUUCUUUCGUGGAUUCGCCUUACGCCGGUGGCUGCGCCGCCGCAAGGAGUCCGGCUGGCGGCGUCUGGUCGGCGAAGGAGGAAGAACGGUAGAGGACCGUUAGAUCAAAAGGGGGUGGUCGAGAUCAAAGGGUAUGUAACGUUUCGACCAAUUACAUGGUGGCCGUUGGAUCGUGAUCUGAAGGAUGGCAGUGAAUACCGGUUCGGGUAGCGCUGGAUCUAAUCCUGACCACUGGAUUCGGAUCUGAUGGCCGAGGCGGCGCCAUACCCAUUCGGCUGGCUAGUUUUGCGUCUAGGUCCUUACAUUAUUUUAGAAUCAACCCGCGGUUCAUUCCUGGGCCGUCCGUGUCUUAGGAACUCUUCCUUAUUAACCCCUGCUCUUUUAAGAAUUUGAAGACCAGUCCAGAGUUCAUAAGAAAGGGAUAAAUAAAAAUCUAAAAAUGAUUUUAAUGAGAAAAGAAUUGCUAGAACUUAUAAAAUUCAUAGAAAAUUCAUCUCUAGUCCAAAUCACUCCGUUCCAGUUGCUAAAAUUUUGUAAUUUUAUUCUCUAUCACUUAGAGCCUCUGUUUUGUCAUGAAAACAGUAAUAAAUUUAAUUCCUUACUUAAUCCCAUUUUAAACACAUAAAACAUUUGAAAAUGCAUAACUUAAAAUCUAUAAGUCCAAAAAUUAUGAUUUCUGUUCCUAGAAUUUUAUUUUAAUGUGUAGAUUAUUACUGUGUAUUUUGCAUAUGUGUUUGGUGUAAUGUUAAUUUUGCCUAUACAAUGUUUGUCUGUAUUGCUACGACUAGCAGUGAGGUCACGAGUCACCUGAAGAUCAUCCUGGUACCUGGAAUCUCAAGGCCCAGGCAAGUUGUGCCCUUGAUCACUUCUUUUUACCCACUCAUGUUCUAAUUAAUCAUAAUGAUCUGCAUAGGUUAAUUUGAUGGGACCCAAUAGGUUACCCUAGUUUGUCUAUCUUUAUACCUUGUUUACCACUGAACUUUUUGGGUAGUACUUGCUAGUGCUUUAUGUGGUUUUGGGUAUGAAGAUACAUUAUUCAUGAUCACACUUUUAUUAUCUGUUUAUUAUCACUGUUCAUGAUAAGAUCAUUAUGUUAAUUGGAACAUGGAGAACCACCCGGGAAAACAGUGCUACCACAAGGGUUUAAUGGGACGCCCUUGGCCGAUUAAUUAGGAAAGCUAGUGGAAGACUACCUUACCCGAAAGGGGCAAGGGCAGUAGGGGAGUGGUCAGUGUAGGGAGGCCCUCGGGAGGAUUUUGCUGUGAUGGCGGUCCUGCAAGGGAUUCCUGGGAAGGCCCUCGAGAGGAUUUUGCUGUGAUGGCGGUCCUGCAAGGGAUUCCUGGGGAGGCCCUCGGGAGGAUUUUGCUGUGAUGGCGGUCCUGCAAGGGAUUCCUGCAUUGGAGCUUCCUAUAAACUGUAGCGGGUUUUCUGAAGCUAGUGGAACUUUGUAAAGGCCUCGUAGUGUUACCCUGCCUCGCCUCCUCGGUAGAGGUGUAUGGGAAGUCGCGAUCCCUUGGCAGAUGGGUAACAUGACUUGUGGGUAAAGAUGCGCCACCUCUGCAGAGUGUAAAACUGGUAUACUAGCCGUGCUCACGGUCAUGAGCGGCUCGGACACUCACAUGAUUAAAUUAUGGAACUUAAACUCAAUUUGUCAUAUGCAUUGCAUCGCAGGUGAGUUUGUUACUUUUGUUCUACUAUUUAAUUGGGUUGGUAUUUACUUAUACUUAGUAAUUGCUAAUAAAAUUUUGACCAACUUUAAAAGCAAUGCUCAGCUCUAACCAUCUCCUUUGGUAAGCCUUACACUUCACGUGAGCUCCCACCUUUGGCGAGUUCAUGCACAUUAUUCCCCACAACUUGUUGAGCGAUGAACGUAUGUGAGCUCACUCUUGCUGUCUCACAUACACCACAGGUCAAGACCAGGUACUGCAGGAUGAUGCUCAUGGAGGAUGCUGCGAUGAGUUCGUGAGUGGUCUAGGUCGUCGUCUCCCAGUCAACUUUGGGUUGCUGGACCGUUGUCUCCUUAUAAUGUAAUUAUUUAUUUUGUAUAGAACUCCUGUUAUAUAUAAAGAUGUGACAUUCG
rnacentral:lncRNA from 1 species